AUGAACGCUAGCUACAGGCUUAACACAUGCAAGUCGAGGGGCAGCAUGGUCUUAGCUUGCUAAGGCCGAUGGCGACCGGCGCACGGGUGAGUAACACGUAUCCAACCUGCCGUCUACUCUUGGACAGCCUUCUGAAAGGAAGAUUAAUACAAGAUGGCAUCAUGAGUCCACAUGUUCACAUGAUUAAAGGUAUUCCGGUAGACGAUGGGGAUGCGUUCCAUUAGAUAGUAGGCGGGGUAACGGCCCACCUAGUCUUCGAUGGAUAGGGGUUCUGAGAGGAAGGUCCCCCACAUUGGAACUGAGACACGGUCCAAACUCCUACGGGAGGCAGCAGUGAGGAAUAUUGGUCAAUGGGCGAGAGCCUGAACCAGCCAAGUAGCGUGAAGGAUGACUGCCCUAUGGGUUGUAAACUUCUUUUAUAAAGGAAUAAAGUCGGGUAUGGAUACCCGUUUGCAUGUACUUUAUGAAUAAGGAUCGGCUAACUCCGUGCCAGCAGCCGCGGUAAUACGGAGGAUCCGAGCGUUAUCCGGAUUUAUUGGGUUUAAAGGGAGCGUAGAUGGAUGUUUAAGUCAGUUGUGAAAGUUUGCGGCUCAACCGUAAAAUUGCAGUUGAUACUGGAUAUCUUGAGUGCAGUUGAGGCAGGCGGAAUUCGUGGUGUAGCGGUGAAAUGCUUAGAUAUCACGAAGAACUCCGAUUGCGAAGGCAGCCUGCUAAGCUGCAACUGACAUUGAGGCUCGAAAGUGUGGGUAUCAAACAGGAUUAGAUACCCUGGUAGUCCACACGGUAAACGAUGAAUACUCGCUGUUUGCGAUAUACAGCAAGCGGCCAAGCGAAAGCGUUAAGUAUUCCACCUGGGGAGUACGCCGGCAACGGUGAAACUCAAAGGAAUUGACGGGGGCCCGCACAAGCGGAGGAACAUGUGGUUUAAUUCGAUGAUACGCGAGGAACCGUACCCGGGCUUAAAUUGCAGAUGAAUUACGGUGAAAGCCGUAAGCCGCAAGGCAUCUGUGAAGGUGCUGCAUGGUUGUCGUCAGCUCGUGCCGUGAGGUGUCGGCUUAAGUGCCAUAACGAGCGCAACCCUUGUUGUCAGUUACUAACAGGUUCCGCUGAGGACUCUGACAAGACUGCCAUCGUAAGAUGUGAGGAAGGUGGGGAUGACGUCAAAUCAGCACGGCCCUUACGUCCGGGGCUACACACGUGUUACAAUGGGGGGUACAGAGGGCCGCUACCACGCGAGUGGAUGCCAAUCCCAAAAACCUCUCUCAGUUCGGACUGGAGUCUGCAACCCGACUCCACGAAGCUGGAUUCGCUAGUAAUCGCGCAUCAGCCACGGCGCGGUGAAUACGUUCCCGGGCCUUGUACACACCGCCCGUCAAGCCAUGGGAGCCGGGGGUACCUGAAGUGCGUAACCGCGAGGAGCGCCCUAGGGUAAAACUGGUGACUGGGGCU
rnacentral:rRNA from 1 species